rnacentral:lncRNA from 1 species
GGAAAUGAGCCUGGCUAUGGAAAUGCUUAUUUGUUGGGAGGGUGCUUGUCUGGAUCGAUGAUGAGAAAAACUGUCUGAGGAUGCUGAGGGACUCAUUCCAGAUGUCAAUCUGAGGUCCAGAUGAAUGCCCCUCUAACCGGACAAGUAAGACUCUCAGAGCCUGGCUCUAUGUGGUGACCCCUCAGUGACAACAUGCCAAUCAGGACUGGAAUCAGGACUUCCGCUUCAGAGGAUGGGGGCAAAGCAACAAUAUAACUCCAGAGCACAGUCAAUAAGACACUUAUGUGAAGGACUGAACAGAAAACUCUCUGGUGAUACAGUGUCAUCUAAGGGUAAACAAGAUACCAGUAGAGCAACUGGACUGGGUGUCCUCCAAAAAAAUCCUCCUUAACUAUCAUUUCCCAAAAUGAAUCAAGCACUAAAUAAUGUAAUGCUGCUGGCAAAAGUAUUAGUAGUAGUAGAAGGAGGAGGAGGAGAAGGGAAGAAAAACAGCUCCUCUUUGCUACUAAUCAAGGGUGAACUUGUAUGCUUCCCCAUUCACUGAGGCAGAAGGUAAAUUCAAGAAAAUAGUUUCUCUUA